rnacentral:rRNA from 1 species
CACUAUCGUUAACUGAAUACAUAGGUUAACGAGGCGAACCGGGGGAACUGAAACAUCUAAGUACCCCGAGGAAAAGAAAUCAACCGAGAUUCCCCCAGUAGCGGCGAGCGAACGGGGAGCAGCCCAGAGUCUGAAUCAGCUUGUGUGUUAGUGGAACGGUCUGGAAAGUCCGACGGUACAGGGUGAUAGUCCCGUACACCAAAAUGCACAGGUUGUGAACUCGAAGAGUAGGGCGGGACACGUGGUAUCCUGUCUGAAUAUGGGGGGACCAUCCUCCAAGGCUAAAUACUCCUGACUGACCGAUAGUGAACCAGUACCGUGAGGGAAAGGCGAAAAGAACCCCGGCGAGGGGAGUGAAAAAGAACCUGAAACCGUGUACGUACAAGCAGUGGGAGCACCUUCGGGUGUGACUGCGUACCUUUUGUAUAAUGGGUCAGCGACUUAUAUUCUGUAGCAAGGUUAACCGUAUAGGGGAGCCGCAGGGAAACCGAGUCUUAACUGGGCGUUAAGUUGCAGGGUAUAGACCCGAAACCCGGUGAUCUAGCCAUGGGCAGGUUGAAGGUUGGGUAACACUAACUGGAGGACCGAACCGACUAAUGUUGAAAAAUUAGCGGAUGACUUGUGGCUGGGGGUGAAAGGCCAAUCAAACCGGGAGAUAGCUGGUUCUCCCCGAAAGCUAUUUAGGUAGCGCCUCGUGAACUCAUCUUCGGGGGUAGAGCACUGUUUCGGCUAGGGGGUCAUCCCGACUUACCAACCCGAUGCAAACUACGAAUACCGAAGAAUGUUAUCACGGGAGACACACGGCGGGUGCUAACGUCCGUCGUGAAGAGGGAAACAACCCAGACCGCCAGCUAAGGUCCCAAAGUCAUGGUUAAGUGGGAAACGAUGUGGGAAGGCACAGACAGCCAGGAUGUUGGCUUAGAAGCAGCCAUCAUUUAAAGAAAGCGUAAUAGCUCACUGGUCGAGUCGGCCUGCGCGGAAGAUGUAACGGGGCUAAACCAUGCACCGAAGCUGCGGCAGCGACACUAUGUGUUGUUGGGUAGGGGAGCGUUCUGUAAGCCUGCGAAGGUGUGCUGUGAGGCAUGCUGGAGGUAUCAGAAGUGCGAAUGCUGACAUAAGUAACGAUAAAGCGGGUGAAAAGCCCGCUCGCCGGAAGACCAAGGGUUCCUGUCCAACGUUAAUCGGGGCAGGGUGAGUCGACCCCUAAGGCGAGGCCGAAAGGCGUAGUCGAUGGGAAACAGGUUAAUAUUCCUGUACUUGGUGUUACUGCGAAGGGGGGACGGAGAAGGCUAUGUUAGCCGGGCGACGGUUGUCCCGGUUUAAGCAUGUAGGCUGGUUGUCCAGGCAAAUCCGGAUAAUCAAGGCUGAGGUGUGAUGACGAGGCACUACGGUGCUGAAGUAACAAAUGCCCUGCUUCCAGGAAAAGCCUCUAAGCAUCAGGUAACAUUAAAUCGUACCCCAAACCGACACAGGUGGUCAGGUAGAGAAUACCAAGGCGCUUGAGAGAACUCGGGUGAAGGAACUAGGCAAAAUGGUGCCGUAACUUCGGGAGAAGGCACGCUGGUGUGUAGGUGAAGUCCCUGCGGAUGGAGCUGAGACCAGUCGAAGAUACCAGCUGGCUGCAACUGUUUAUUAAAAACACAGCACUGUGCAAACACGAAAGUGGACGUAUACGGUGUGACGCCUGCCCGGUGCCGGAAGGUUAAUUGAUGGGGUUAUCCGUAAGGAGAAGCUCUUGAUCGAAGCCCCGGUAAACGGCGGCCGUAACUAUAACGGUCCUAAGGUAGCGAAAUUCCUUGUCGGGUAAGUUCCGACCUGCACGAAUGGCGUAAUGAUGGCCAGGCUGUCUCCACCCGAGACUCAGUGAAAUUGAACUCGCUGUGAAGAUGCAGUGUACCCGCGGCAAGACGGAAAGACCCCGUGAACCUUUACUAUAGCUUGACACUGAACAUUGAGCCUUGAUGUGUAGGAUAGGUGGGAGGCUUUGAAGCGUGGACGCCAGUCUGCGUGGAGCCAACCUUGAAAUACCACCCUUUAAUGUUUGAUGUUCUAACGUUGGCCCCUGACCGGGGUUGCGGACAGUGUCUGGUGGGUAGUUUGACUGGGGCGGUCUCCUCCCAAAGCGUAACGGAGGAGCACGAAGGUUAGCUAAUCCUGGUCGGACAUCAGGAGGUUAGUGCAAUGGCAUAAGCUAGCUUGACUGCGAGCGUGACGGCGCGAGCAGGUGCGAAAGCAGGUCAUAGUGAUCCGGUGGUUCUGAAUGGAAGGGCCAUCGCUCAACGGAUAAAAGGUACUCCGGGGAUAACAGGCUGAUACCGCCCAAGAGUUCAUAUCGACGGCGGUGUUUGGCACCUCGAUGUCGGCUCAUCACAUCCUGGGGCUGAAGUAGGUCCCAAGGGUAUGGCUGUUCGCCAUUUAAAGUGGUACGCGAGCUGGGUUUAGAACGUCGUGAGACAGUUCGGUCCCUAUCUGCCGUGGGCGCUGGAGAAUUGAGGGGGGCUGCUCCUAGUACGAGAGGACCGGAGUGGACGCAUCACUGGUGUUCGGGUUGUCAUGCCAAUGGCACUGCCCGGUAGCUAAAUGCGGAAGAGAUAAGUGCUGAAAGCAUCUAAGCACGAAACUUGCCCCGAGAUGAGUUCUCCCUGAGACUUUAAGUCUCCUGAAGGAACGUUGAAGACGACGACGUUGAUAGGCCGGGUGUGUAAGCGCAGCGAUGCGUUGAGCUAACCGGUACUAAUGAACCGUGAGGCUUAACCUU